rnacentral:rRNA from 1 species
AGGAAGAAAGCUAUUGCCACCACACUCAUGCUUGUGGCGUGGGCACUGUGGAACGAGAGGAAUGCACGGGUUUUUCGCAAGAAGUCUACACUGCUUUCCAUCGUCUUCGCACAUGUUAGGAACGAGGCUAAGUUGUGGGCACCGCCGGUGCUAGGCACCUGGGCUCUAUUAUGCCGUGAGAGUAGGCUUUUGUCUCAUUUGUUGAGGAGUAAUGACCUCGCCAUAAACUUCUGUUACCCUUCUUCUUUAUUAAUGAUAUGA